rnacentral:rRNA from 1 species
UACGGGGGGGGCAAGCGUUGUUCGGAAUUACUGGGCGUAAAGGGCUCGUAGGUGGUCAACUAAGUCAUACGUGAAAUCCCCAGGCUCAACCUGGGAACUGCGUCCGAUACUGGAUGGCUUGAAUCCGGGAGAGGGAUGCAGAAUUCCAGGUGUAGCGGUGAAAUGCGUAGAUAUCUGGAGGAAUACCGGUGGCGAAGGCGGCAUCCUGGACCGGCAUUGACGCUGAGGAGCGAAAGCCAGGGGAGCAAACGGG